AAUGACGCCUUAGCGACGCACGUUGUGGCCAAAAUAUUUCAACGUUAUUUUACACUGCGACGAAAAUGUAUUGAAGUGACACCCACCAAGUUAAUGUGCGUGAAUGUCUUUGAGACGUUUUUGUAACUUAAACUUUUACGAAUUGUAUUUUGUGCAAUAAAGUUUAAAUAAAUAAAAGUCAACUUGAAGUAGCCUUUCUAUUCUAAAAUAUAAGCAGACAUGCGGCUUCAGAUGGGAUUAGUCACACGCGCGUUGCCGACACCGAUUGAAUAAUUUCACGCUUAUAAAUAUAUAUAGAUAGACAAGACAAAUCACAAAUAUUUUUUCCUUGUCUAAAUCUUUUUUAUCAGCUUUCAUUAUUAAAUCAGCAGCGUUGCUUAAUCCUUGCCAAUCCGGUUCCGCAGACCUUCAAACUGAUAGAUAGUGGACAGCGCCAGACAAGCUGUCUCACCGACUCACAGAUUCGUUUGAAAUACAACACAAGACUUUCUAAUCGAAAUCUAUCGUUCAUUAUAUAAGUACUUACUUAAAGAAGACGUAACAAUAUUUCCGAAAAUGCUUCCAUGAAGGAAGGUUCCUAGAAGGAGAGAACUCCGCCAGUGUGAUUACAUUCUCAAUAAUUCUACGUGCUUACAAACUUUUCGGUUAAAUUAACGGGAACGAAUGAGAAAAAAACAAGAAUGUGUUUCUCUUUCCAUUUAGACUGUAAAUGUCAAUCAAGGGAGAGGCCUUUUUUAAACAGGGGAUUCCUCAUAAUUUAAGAAUAUGUAAAUCAAGCGUAGGUAGAUGACUGAUUGGACAAACGUCGUCACAAGCAACGAAAAUGAGUUCAUCAUACGAAAUAAAAGGUUUGAAAGCAUGGACAAUAUUGACUAUGAAUGAAGCAUUAACCGCAUAUAUCAUAAUGCCUAUUAUAGGUAUAAUUACCUAUUAUAAGAUCAUUAUAACAAAGGUCAUGAUUCUUCAGAAGAUUUCUAUUGCUAAAACUUUCUUUUUCGGACUAGAGUUGUUAUUGUUAAUAAGUUUGUACCUCGUGAGUUUAUUAACCGAUCUGACUCAGGAAGUAAAUAAUAAUAAUCUUUAUUUUUUUUUCUUCUCUCACAUAUAAUUACACAGUUAAAAAACUUUUCUGUUUAAUAUUAGUU